UCAGCUUUCAUCCCUCACCGUUCCGGCAGGAUCAACCGGAAGCCGAUCAGGUUGUUGGUGAGGUAAUGGCUCACCAAGCCUUUUACCGGUGCGGGCCGUGAGAGCGGGAGCCCGGAGAUGGGUACUGAGACAAGGACCCAGGCCCUACGGGGCGCAGCAGUCGCGAAAACUUUGAAUACACGAAAGUGUGACAGGGCUAUCCCGAGUGCCUUCCGCUGAGGGAGGCUUUUACCUAGUAUAGACCGCUAGGGGAAUAAGGAGAGGGCAAGUCUGGUGUCAGCCGCCGCGGUAAUACCAGCUCUCCGAGUGGUGUGGAUGUUUAUUGGGCCUAAAGCAUCCCGUAGCUGGCUAGGUCAGUCCUUUGUUAAAUCCACCGAAUUAAUCGUUGGUUUGCGGGGGAUACUGCUUGGCUAGGGGACGAGAGAGGCAGACGGUAUUUCCGGGGUAGGAGUGAAAUCCUAUAAUCCCGGGAAGACCACCAGUGGCGAAGGCUGUCUGCUAGAACGCGCUCGACGGUGAGGGAUGAAAGCUG
rnacentral:rRNA from 1 species